rnacentral:rRNA from 1 species
AGUGAACGCUGGCGGUAGGCCUAACACAUGCAAGUCGAACGGCAGCACAGUAAGAGCUUGCUCUUACGGGUGGCGAGUGGCGGACGGGUGAGGAAUACAUCGGAAUCUACUUUUUCGUGGGGGAUAACGUAGGGAAACUUACGCUAAUACCGCAUACGACCUACGGGUGAAAGCAGGGGAUCUUCGGACCUUGCGCGAUUGAAUGAGCCGAUGUCGGAUUAGCUAGUUGGCGGGUUAAAGGCCCACCAAGGCGACGAUCCGUAGCUGGUCUGAGAGGAUGAUCAGCCACACUGGAACUGAGACACGGUACAGAGGCCUACGGGAGGCAGCAGUGGGGAAUAUUGGACAAUGGGCUCAAGCCUGAUCCAGCCAUACCGCGUGGGUGAAGAAGGCCUUCGGGUUGUAAAGCCCUUUUGUUGGGAAAGAAAAGCAGCAGGUUAAUACCCCGCUGUUCUGACGGUACCCAAAGAAUAAGCACCGGCUAACUUCGUG